rnacentral:rRNA from 1 species
GACGAACGCUGGCGGCGUGCCUAAUACAUGCAAGUCAAGCGGACAGAAGGGAGCUUGCUCCCGGAUGUUAGCGGCGGACGGGUGAGUAACACGUGGGUAACCUGCCUGUAAGACUGGGAUAACUCCGGGAAACCGGAGCUAAUACCGGAUAGUUCCUUGAACCGCAUGGUUCAAGGAUGAACGACGGUUUCGGCUGUCACUUACAGAUGGACCCGCGGCGCAUUAGCUAGUUGGUGGGGUAACGGCUCACCAAGGCAACGAUGCGUAGCCGACCUGAGAGGGUGAUCGGCCACACUGGGACUGAGACACGGCCCAGACUCCUACGGGAGGCAGCAGUAGGGAAUCUUCCGCAAUGGACGAAAGUCUGACGGAGCAACGCCGCGUGAGUGAUGAAGGUUUUCGGAUCGUAAAGCUCUGUUGUUAGGGAAGAACAAGUGCAAGAGUAACUGCUUGCACAUUGACGGUACCUAACGAGAAAGCAACGGCUAACUACGUGCCAGCCGCCGCCGUAA